GUUAGCCGACGGGCGGAUCUCGGGUUGCCACGGCGACGGGCAACCUGAGGAAACUCCACCACGUCCACGGACCCGCGGCGCCGCGAGGCGCUGGGGGAAACCCUAGGCAACGGCACAGAAACGAGACCUCCUACAUUCCAUGAGAAUGAGACGGCCGAGGCGUUAAGCCGAGAACCGUCCUGGCAACAGGACGGAGAUAACCCGUCGACGAGAAUGUAGGAAAGGAUGAAACGGCCGCCCCGCGGGUUCAGAGCCAAAUAGAGCCGAUGAGGUCCGUGGGAAGGCUCGGGUAGGCUCUUAGACAGAUUCCGCUAAAACAGAAGGUGGGUUACGAUCGGCUAAC
rnacentral:RNase_P_RNA from 2 species